AACGAACGCUGGCGGCAUGCCUAACACAUGCAAGUCGAACGAGACCUUCGGGUCUAGUGGCGCACGGGUGCGUAACGCGUGGGAACCUGCCCUUAGGUUCGGAAUAACUCCCCGAAAGGGGUGCUAAUACCGGAUAAUGUCUUCGGACCAAAGAUUUAUCGCCUUUGGAUGGGCCCGCGUUGGAUUAGCUAGUUGGUAGGGUAAAAGCCUACCAAGGCGACGAUCCAUAGCUGGUCUGAGAGGAUGAUCAGCCACACUGGGACUGAGACACGGCCCAGACUCCCACGGGAGGCAGCAGUGGGGAAUAUUGGACAAUGGGCGAAAGCCUGAUCCAGCAAUGCCGCGUGAGUGAUGAAGGCCUUAGGGUUGUAAAGCUCUUUUACCCGGGAUGAUAAUGACAGUACCGGGAGAAUAAGCUCCGGCUAACUCCGU
rnacentral:rRNA from 1 species